GCUCCUACAAGAGUGAAGUGCAGGGACUUUGGGACAGUGAGGAAAAUAAAGCCCAUACACUUUGACCCUUUAGGAGAG
rnacentral:pre_miRNA from 1 species